CCUACGGGAGGCAGCAGUGGGGAAUAUUGGACAAUGGGGGCAACCCUGAUCCAGCCAUGCCGCGUGAGUGAAGAAGGCCUUAGGGUUGUAAAGCUCUUUCAGUCGUGACGAUGAUGACGGUAGCGACAGAAGAAGCCCCGGCUAACUCCGUGCCAGCAGCCGCGGUAA
rnacentral:rRNA from 1 species